UACGGGGGGGGCAAGCGUUGUUCGGAAUUACUGGGCGUAAAGGGCUCGUAGGCGGCCAACUAAGUCAGGCGUGAAAUCCCUCGGCUUAACCGGGGAACUGCGUCUGAUACUGGAUGGCUUGAAUCCGGGAGAGGGAUGCGGAAUUCCAGGUGUAGCGGUGAAAUGCGUAGAUAUCUGGAGGAACACCGGUGGCGAAGGCGGCAUCCUGGACCGGCAUUGACGCUGAGGAGCGAAAGCCAGGGGAGCAAACGGG
rnacentral:rRNA from 1 species